rnacentral:misc_RNA from 1 species
CCGAGUUUUUGAGCCCCGGCUCGACUCUCCCACCCUUUGUGAACGUACCUCUGUUGCUUUGGCGGCUCCGGCCGCCAAAGGACCUUCAAACUCCAGUCAGUAAACGCAGACGUCUGAUAAACAAGUUAAUAAACUA